AUUGGUGAUGGUAGCUUUCAGGUAUAUAAUCAAGAAUCUUGCGACAUGAACUCCUCAAUUCUAAUUUCUAAUUCAUAAGUCACAUUUUCUUACAUUGAAGCAUUCAUGUACUAUUCAUCCAUGAUACAGGGGAUUGUAUUUUCUGACGGAUAGUAUAAGUUAUUUUUCAAAUUGAAAUUCACCUUUAACUUAAAUUAUUCAGUAUAUUGGUUAUUGUGCUUAAUUCAGAUGGUUUAUCUGAUUUGCUGUGACGUUAAUUGAGUCCCUGAAAACAGAUACUUACAUGCUUGUAUCUUCUUUGGUGAAUGCCUAAU
rnacentral:misc_RNA from 1 species